rnacentral:rRNA from 1 species
UGCUCAGAUGAACGCUGGCGGCAGGCCUAACACAUGCAAGUCGAACGGUAGCACAGAGGAGCUUGCUCCUUGGGUGACGAGUGGCGGACGGGUGAGUAAUGCCUGGGAAACUGCCCGAUGGAGGGGGAUAACUACUGGAAACGGUAGCUAAUACCGCAUAACGUCUUCGGACCAAAGUGGGGGACCUUCGGGCCUCACACCAUCGGAUGUGCCCAGGUGGGAUUAGCUAGUAGGUGGGGUAAUGGCUCACCUAGGCGACGAUCCCUAGCUGGUCUGAGAGGAUGACCAGCCACACUGGAACUGAGACACGGUCCAGACUCCUACGGGAGGCAGCAGUGGGGAAUAUUGCACAAUGGGCGCAAGCCUGAUGCAGCCAUGCCGCGUGUAUGAAGAAGGCCUUCGGGUUGUAAAGUACUUUCAGUGGGGAGGAAGGCGAUGAGGUUAAUAACCUCGUCGAUUGACGUUACCCGCAGAAGAAGCACCGGCUAACUCCGUGCCAGCAGCCGCGGUAAUACGGAGGGUGCAAGCGUUAAUCGGAAUUACUGGGCGUAAAGCGCACGCAGGCGGUCUGUCAAGUCGGAUGUGAAAUCCCCGGGCUCAACCUGGGAACUGCAUUCGAAACUGGCAGACUAGAGUCUUGUAGAGGGGGGUAGAAUUCCAGGUGUAGCGGUGAAAUGCGUAGAGAUCUGGAGGAAUACCGGUGGCGAAGGCGGCCCCCUGGACAAAGACUGACGCUCAGGUGCGAAAGCGUGGGGAGNAANNAGGAUUAGAUACCCUGGUAGUCCACGCCGUNANNNNNNNNNNNNGGAGGUUGUGCCCUUGAGGCGUGCUNCCNGAGCUAACGCNNNAANUCGACC